rnacentral:rRNA from 1 species
CGCCCGAGCGCUCUCACACAAUCCAUCUCACCUUUGUGCAUCACCGCGUGGGUCGCCUUUGCGGGAGGGCUCACGUUUUCACAUAAAACUCGAUACAGUGUAGAAUGUUUCUUUUGCGGUCGCACGCAAUCAAUACAACUUUCAACAACGGAUCUCUUGGCUCUCGCAUCGAUGAAGAACGCAGCGAAAUGCGAUACGUAAUGUGAAUUGCAGAAUUCAGUGAAUCAUCGAAUCUUUGAACGCACCUUGCGCCCCUUGGCAUUCCGAGGGGCACACCCGUUUGAGUGUCGUGAAAUCUUCAAAAACCCUUUUUUCUUUGAACCAUUGUGGUCGGAAAAAGGAUUUUUGGACUUGGAGGCUUUAAUGCUUGCCCUUUCUUUUCUUUGAAAGCGAGCUCCUCUCAAAUGAAUUAGUGGGGUCCGCUUUGCUGAUCCUUGACGUGAUAAAAUGUUUCUACGUUUUGGGUUUAGCACUGUCCCUUGGAUGCCUGCUGCUAACCGUCUCA